AACGAACGCUGGCGGCAGGCUUAACACAUGCAAGUCGAACGCCCCGCAAGGGGAGUGGCAGACGGGUGAGUAACGCGUGGGAAUCUACCUAGUUCUACGGAACAACUGAGGGAAACUUCAGCUAAUACCGUAUACGCCCUACGGGGGAAAGAUUUAUCGGAAUGAGAUGAGCCCGCGUAAGAUUAGCUAGUUGGUGGGGUAAUGGCCUACCAAGGCGACGAUCUUUAGCUGGUCUGAGAGGAUGAUCAGCCACACUGGGACUGAGACACGGCCCAGACUCCUACGGGAGGCAGCAGUGUGGAAUAUUGGACAAUGGGCGCAAGCCUGAUCCAGCCAUGCCGCGUGAGUGAUGAAGGCCUUAGGGUUGUAAAGCUCUUUCAGUGGGGAAGAUAAUGACGGUACCCACAGAAGAAGCCCCGGCUAACUUCGUGCCAGCCGCCGCGGUAAGAC
rnacentral:rRNA from 1 species